rnacentral:tRNA from 1 species
GAUCUGUUAGCUCAGCCGGUAGAGCACCUGCCUUUUAAGCAGGGGGUCUGGAGUUCGAGUCUCCAACAGAUCA